CCAGAGGUGGCUGUCAGCUUGCUGCAGGACAAUUAUUUGCUUUCCAUUCCGUUCUGCUUUCUGGAUGUGUUGAAGAGUAAAGAGCUUGAUAAAGUCCUGGCUGCCCUCCUUCUAUACCUGUCCUGCUUUUUUGAACACAAAUCUCUGGAGAAUAAAGUUGCAUCUUUAGUUGUUGUGGACAUCAUCACCGAGCGGCAGAUGCUGAUGGAGACUGCGGCCAAGAAGGAGAUAGCCCUGAAAGAGCUGGCCGUCAGCUACUUCAGCCUAAUGAUGGACCUGGAGAGCGAGCAGCACCUUCCACAUAACAAGUGA